rnacentral:lncRNA from 1 species
ACGGCAACUUGGUCGGGUGCGACCAAAAUCCCCGUCUAAAGCCGGUAUCGGGUAGAAUUCCACCGUGUCCAAAUCCCAAGCACUAUUUAAAGUGAAUCAAACUUCCAUUUGAAGCUUUUGCUUCAUCUCACUACUCUCUCUCAAACCUCUCUCCUCAACAAAGAUUAAGGUCCAAAAACAUAGAAUUAAGGCUCCAAAUCAUAGAGGUAACUUCCCUAACUUGUUAUUCAACCUCUUAAGCCUUCAAAUCUGUGUUUAAUAUGUGAUUUUGGACCUCGAACAUGUGUUUACGGCCAAGGAUCAUGCUUGGGCCGUAAACACUUAAUAAAUGGGUUUUUUGAGCAAUUAAACCCCUCCAAAUCAAUCUUGGGACUUAGAUACGACUAUAUGGCUUACAAAUCCGGACUUAGAACACCCUAAACAUGGAUUUUGAGGAGAAUAUAAGAGUUUACGGACAAGGAACAUGCUUGGGCCGUAAACCCCUCGUACAUGAGGAGUAAACUCAUUUUUGCAUGUUAAAAAGGCAUAUAACUCCACCAAUAGCCUUGGAAUAAAUCCUAGAAUCAUCUAAAAAUAGUUUGGGGACUUUAAUCAUAUCAAACACCCUCCAAAUGAGAGUUUACGGCCAUGACACUCCAAGAACAAGUCCCAGGGCCGUAAAAUCCUCUAUAGGUGUCAAAUGAUGCCAAAAACUCAUACCAAGGCUUGGAAGAUUAGUUAGAAUCACAUGUGAUUGUCCUAGCCUCACAAAAUAAUUUUGGUUUGGACUUGGGGGAGGGGGGGGGGNNNNNNNNNNNNNNNNNNNNNNNNNNNGGGGGAGUUUACGGCCGUAAAAUCCAAGUUUACUGCCGUGAACUCCCAUAAAUAAUAUAUAUGGUAGUACAAUCCAUUCCAAGGGUUUAGAAAAAUCCAUUCCAUCAUUCCCCAUGUUCAUUUAAGCCAUUUAGCACCCCAAAUCACCCAAUCAUGACUUCACGGCCGUCAACUCAUGUAUGUAUGGGGUAUAUGGCCGAAAACUCCAUAAGGACUUUACUCUUGAAGAGUAAACUCAAUUCCCAAGUCCCUCGCAUCAUUACACGUCUGUAGAUGUCACCCGGGUCACUCCAAACACUCGUUUGGAGUGUUUUAGCUCAUUGGAGUGUAGUAUCCUAUCUAAUUAGUAUUUUUAAAGCUAAUUAGAUAUAUUUGGACAUUAUUUCAUACUACAUAGGAACCCCGCGUGUAAUCAAACCCCGAACCAACAUUUAGUGUCCGAAACAGUUGCACCUUCUCGUCUAGUGAGUUCAUACCCCUAUCCUUUUUCACUGUUUUCACUGUUUUCAGGGGGAAUACAAGAAAAGUACAAUGGAUAAUUGUACUUAAAACUUGUUUUACAUGUGUAUGUUUCAAAACAUAUUUGCUUUUAACACUGAUAACCACAACUGAUAACUGUUUGAAAGUUGUAGGGUAAUCAUAUACAUUAUUUGUGAAAUUAGUUGUAAAUUGUUAUGUUUUAUUUAUUUCACAAAUGGUUUUCCACAAUUUAUGAGUUAAAAGCAUGACAUUAGAACCUUUGAACAUAAAACUUUGUACACUGUUUUGUCCUCGGUAACACUCCACAGAGAUACGCGAGUGGAGGAUUAUCAUACUAUUACUAGUAAAUUUGUUAGUCCUAUGUAAUUGGAGACACGUCCUCGGCGAACACUCCACAGAGAUACGCGAGUGGAGGACUGCACCUGUAACCAGAAUCUCUUAGAUAGGGAGCAUGACUUGAGUGUAUAGAUCUAUACGGGGCUGACUACCCCACACCUGGCUACUAGCUACAGCCGAACCAAAAUGGUUCAAGGGUGACGAAAGGCAUAAGGUGAUGUGGACUACUUAUUGCCAUAUCUAGUCUAUCGUAUGGUUAUGGAACUCGCAAUUAGGAUAACAGGGAUUUACUUAAUAGUAAUAAUGAAUAAAGUAAUUAGUUUACUUUGCUUUAAAACUAAUACAUUUCACAACGACAACCGGGUUUUCAGAUUACAUCUUUCACAAUUGGUAACCAACAUUCAGGAAAAUAUGGGAUUUUCCUGGGGAAUAUUAUACAUAAUCAGAAAAGUGUAAUCAACCGGAUAACUUUACAUUUCAUAACUGUUAACAUGUUUUCAGUGUACAACUUUACAUCACAUUUUGGCAUUCGAUAACCAACAAUUAAGAAAAUAUGGGAUUUUCUUGGUGUGUAACAUUUUCAGAAACAGAAAGGAAACAUGUACAUUUUUCACAAACCAAAAUCGCUUAUAAACUCACCAGCGUUAUGCUGAUUUUCAAACCGCUUGUAUUCUCAGGUCAGCGUUAGACAGGUACCCGAAGAUCCUUUUGUUUAUAUAUAUACUAUGUAUCACAUGUACAACUUUACUUUUGAAACAAUUGCAAAACUUUUCUAUAUGUAAUGUAAUGGUUGUUUUACUUUACUUAGGAUGUGCAUUGGAUUUGAUACUCAACAUGGAGUCAACCCCGUAAAUAUUUCCGCCUUCGGUUUUCAGGGUGUGACAGAUUGGUAUCAGAGCCCUUGUUUAUAGUGAAUAAAGUAUACCAAACCUUACAUGGUAUAAAACUAUAAACACUAAAGGGCCUAAGUGCUCUGAAUUAAAAGUAUCUUCAAACUAUAAGUAUUUUUAAAAGAAUACAAGUAUACCGAACCGUCGAGAUCUGUAACUACAAGUAGAACAAAACAUAAGUAAAUGGGUGUUGUGUACUGCGGUUAAACCUGGGCAGUUAUGUAGUCGUGUCUAGGAUCAAUAUAGCCUGGCCAACUAUAUUCAUUCGAGACACGACCAACAUGUGCUUGGGAGUGACUGUGGUAUGCGGCAUGCCUAAAACUUACCCUAAUACCAAAAACAUCGAACCAGUGUCGUAGCGAAUCAUGAAAUACUAUGGGAGUAUUUUUCGAGCCAAUUCUUUGUAGAAAUCCUUGUUCAUUCGUUUUUCCUUGAUCAUUCCUUUAGCGAUAAUUUAUCUGCUUUGAUAACUCUUUCCUGCUUAUUCAAUUCAGAGGACUUACCAUCCUCUUUCUUUCUUGAUCUUAUUAGAUUAAGAUGCCUCCCAGAAAGAGACCCAACUCCAAGACCAACAACCCUCCGCCACCAGCUCCUCCUGAAAUUGACCUCGUGGUAUUUCAGGCAGCUGUUACCGCCGCGGUGGCAGCUGCCAUGUCUCAAUUGAACACCGGUGGUUCCGGAGGUGGAAAUCAAACUCAGAACCAAGAAAGCAAUCAGCGACACCAAAAGGAGGGUUCCAAUAAGGACUUCAUGAAUGCGAAACCAACAUCUAUUGAUGUCACUGGAGGUGUCAUUUCCUUAUCUCGAUGGUUCGAGAAAAUCGAAUCCAUUUUUGAAAUCUGUGCCUGUGCGGAGUCCGGUAAAGUCAAAUUCGCAACUUGUACCUUCAUUGAUAAGGCCAUGACUUGGUGGAACAGCCGAGUCAAAUCCCUGACCCUACCCAUAGCCAAUGCCAUGGGCUGGGAAGCCAUGAAAGAACUCCUGAUAGCCGAAGCCGAAUACUGUCCCCGUGGUGAAAUGCAGAAACUAGAGCACGAGCUCUGGAACCUGAAGAUGAAAGGUUCCGAUAUUGCUGCAUACACUGCCCGAUUCGAUGAUCUCGCACUUCUUUGCCCGGGAUUGGUCACUCCUGAAAGUAAGAAGAUCGAAAGAUUCAUUUGGGGUUUGACCCAGCCAACAAAGGGAAAUGUCUUAGCUGCACGUCUGGAUACCUAUGAUAGUGCCAAGACUUUAGCCCAAACCCUAAUUGAUCAUAGUGAUGAUGUCGAGGAAACCACUACCACUCCUGAGCCGACCAAGAGGAGUGGUGAGAAGAGUAAGUUAUGGAAGAAGAAGAAGGGUCAAUUUUCCCAAGGAUCUUCCAAGAAACAGUAGACUGUAGCAGUCCAUGCUGCUACUACCCCCGUUGCUGCUGCUUCUGUUGUGGGAUCCACAGCUCCAACUCCUACUAGCAGAUAUGUUGGUAGUCUUCCUCUGUGUGACAAGUGCAAGUACCACCACAACCCCGGCCUCUGCCAAGAACUAUCUUGUACCAAUUGUGGUAAGAAGGGGCACACGGUCCGAUUCUGCAAAGCUCCGGCCCAAUCGACCAAUCAAUCAUUUGGAGCAGGCGUUGGUCAAGCCUGCUAUAACUGUGGAGAGGUUGGACAUUUUAAAAGGAAUUGCCCCAAGAAGUCAAUAGCUGAUAAUACUGGGAGAGUUCUAGCCAUGGGAUGGGAGGAAGCAGUCGUCGAUCCCACUGUAGUCUCGGGUACGUUCCUUCUCGAUAACUCAUAUGCUAGUAUUCUUUUCGAUCCGGGUGCUGAAACAAGCUUUGUUAGUCAUGCAUUCAAACAUAUCCUAAAACAUAAUCCUCAACCUUUAACUAAAAUGUUUACUGUCGAGAUGGCAAACAGUGAGAAAGAAAGUGCCAGCGAGGUGUUCAUAGGUUGUACCUUUACCCUGAACGACCACUCAUUUCCUAUAGAUCUCAUGCCGGUUUCCAUAAAGAGAUUUGAUGUCAUCAUUGGCAUGGAUUGGUUGAGUCCCAAUCAUGCAGAUAUCCUUUGUUUCGAAAAAGCCAUCCGUCUCAACCUUCCUUCGGGUCAGACACUCGUAAUCUAUGGCGAUAAACUCAGUUCCAAUCUUCGCAUUAUUUCCUGCAUCAAAGCUCAGAAACUCCUGCGAAAGCAGUGCAUUGCAUUCUUAGCCCAUGUAAUCAACGAGAAACAGGAAGUUAACGACCUCACGAGCAUUCCCGAAGUCUGUAACUUUCCUGAUGUAUUUCCCGAAGAGCUUCCAGGAAUUCCUCCCGAGCGUCAAGUGGAGUUCCAUAUUGACCUAAUUCCUGGAGCUACUCCCGUAGCGAAAUCUACGUAUCGCUUAGCUCCAACAAAAAUGCAGGAGUUAUCCAGGCAACUCAAUGAGUUGCUUAGUAAAGGAUUCAUUCGACCGAGUUCCUCACCCUGGGGAGCUCCGGUAUUGUUCGUUAAGAAGAAAUAUGGAUCCUUUCAGAUGUGUAUCGAUUAUCGCGAGCUGAUCAAGUUGACCGUAAAAAACCGAUAUCCUCUUCCACGAAUAGAUGACCUCUUCGAUCAACUCUAGGGAGCCAGUUACUUCUCCAAGAUAGUCCUUCGGUCAGGGUACCAUCAACUACUAGUUCAUGAGAGUGAUGUUUCCAAAACAACUUUCAGGACUCGAUAUGGACACUACGAGUUCAUAGUGAUGCCCUUCGGUCUAACCAACGCACCAGCGGUGUUCAUGGACCUGAUGAACCGGGUGUGUCGUCCUUAUCUGGACAAGUUCGUCAUUGUAUUCAUUGAUGACAUACUUGUCUAUUCCCGAAGUGAAGAAGAUCACAAACAGCACUUGAAGCUAGUGUUGGAAACCCUUAGAUUCGAGAAGUUGUACGCGAAAUUUUCCAAAUGUGAGUUCUGGAUUUGGAAGGUAACUUUCCUCGGUCACGUGGUCAGCGAGGAGGGUAUUCAUGUAGAUCCUUCCAAGAUUAAAGAAAUAGAAAAUUGGUUGGCACCGAAGACACCCAUAGAAAUCCGGCACUUCUUGGGUCUCGCCGGCUAUUAUCGGAGAUUUAUCCAGAACUUUUCCAGAAUCGCGAAACCUCUAACCACUCUAACACAGAAAGGUAUACCCUUUUGUUGGAGUGAUAAACAAGAAACCGCAUUCCAGACGUUGAUGAAAGCCUUGUGCAGCGCGCCUGUUAUGUCCCUACCCGAAGGGACAGAGGACUUCGUUGUCUACUGCGAUGCGUCUAAUCAAGGCUUAGGCUGCGUGCUUAUGCAAAGAGGAAAAGUAACAGCUUAAGCCUCUAGACAGCUGAAAGAACACGAGGUUAACUAUACCACGCAUGACUUGGAGUUAGGAGCCGUAGUCUUUGCACUGAAGCUUUGGAGACAUUACCUCUACGGAACCAAGUGUACGAUCUUCACUGACCACAAGAGCCUGCAACACAUCUUUGAUCAGAAAGACUUGAACAUGAGGCAACGGCGAUGGGUAGAACUACUCAGCGAUGAUGAGUGUGAAAUUCGUUACCAUCCCGACAAGGCCAAUGUGGUAGCAAAUGCCCUUAGCCGGAAGGAGAGUUCAAGCCGAAAAGUGAAGAACCUGAUGAUGACCAUCCGUUCCAACUUAUCCAUGCAAAUUCGAGAAGCCCAAUUAGAAGCACUCAAACCCGAGAACGUGUCAAUCGAAGCCUUGAGAGGAAUGGAAAAGAAACUUGAGAUUAGAGGUGACGGAGUCUACUGCUUCAUGGAUCGAAUCUGGAUUCCAAAGUCCGGAGGAUUCAGGGAGAUUGUCAUGGAGGAAGCGCACAAGACCAGAUACUCUGUUCACCCGGGUUCGGACAAGAUGUACCUGGAUCUCAAGAAACAAUACUAGUGGCCAAACAUGAACGCUGAGAUAGCUACGUUCGUGGGCAAGUGUCUGACUUGCGCCAAGGUUAAAGUCGAGCACCAGAAACCCUCGGGUCUACUCCAGCAGCCCGAGAUACCCGAAUGGAAAUGGGAGAUGAUUACCAUGGAUUUCAUCACCAAGUUACCCAAGUGUCCGAGUGGGUAAGAUACCAUUUGGGUAAUUGUCGAUCGUUUAACAAAGUCUGCUCACUUCAUCCCGAUCAAAGAAUCAUUCAAGAUGGAAAGACUUGUGCGAAUUUACAUUUAAGAGGUAGUCCGACUGCACGGUGUACCUGCGUCCAUUAUCUCUGAUCAAGGUAUCAGGUUUACCUCCAGAUUCUGGUAGUCUCUCUAGAAGGCUCUUGGAACCAAACUAGACAUGAGCACGACGUAUCAUCCUCAAACCGAUGGACAAAGUGAGAGAACAAUCCAAACCCUGGAGGACAUGCUUAGGGCAUGUGUCAUUGACUUUGGAAAGUCGUGGGACACACAAUUACCUUUGAUCGAGUUCUCGUACAACAACAGUUACCACACCAGCAUUAGGGCUGCCCCGUUUGAAGCCCUAUAAGGUCGUAAGUGUAGAUCCCCUCUGUGUUGGGCCGAGGUGGGGGAUACACAGCUAGCCAAGAGUCGAGUCCCUGACAGUGCUCUCACUGGUCCUGAAAUCAUCCGCGAAACCACCGAGAAGAUCAUCCAUAUCCAGGAAUGAUUCAAAGCUUCACGAGAUCGCCAAAAGAGUUACGCUGACAACCGUCGGAAACCUCUGGAAUUCCAGGUCAGAGACCGUGUCCUGUUGAAAGUCUCGCCCUGUAAAGGCACGGUACGCUUUGGAAAGCAUGGUAAACUUAAUCUGAGGUACAUUGGACCCUUCGAGAUCCUCGCCAGGAUCGGUCCAGUAGCCUAUAAACUUCGUUUACCCCAUGAGCUCAGUAACAUCCAUCCCGUCUUCCAUGUUUCAAAUCUCAAGAGGUGCUUAUACGAUGAAACCCCAGUGAUUCCUUUAGACGAGAUCGAGAUCAAUUAAAACCUCAACUUCGUGAAGGAACCAAUCGAAAUCAUGGAUCGAGAAGUCAAACGUACAAAGCAAAGCCGCAUCCCGUUGGUGAAGGUUCGCUGGAAUGCCAAGCGGGGACCGGAGUUCACUUGGAAGCGUGAAGACUUGAUGAAACAACAGUAUCCGCAUCUCUUUCCAGAUCCAUGAUUUGUAUCUUGACUUGUAUCUUAAUUUUGAAUUUCGAGACGAAAUUCCCUCUAACGGGGGGUAAUGUAACAACCCAAAAUUUCGUAUCAUUUCUUAUAACCCUUUUCGUAAUCCAUUUCGAUCAACCAAUCGUCGUAUUCAAAUUCGUUUCCGAUUUAGCCAUUUAAUUAAGUCAUUAAAUUGAAAUUAUCUAAAAUGACUUAAUGGGUGUUCAAACACAUUUAGAACUCAUUCUAACACCCCGUAUUAGUGAUCAGAACAUUUCUAGAAUCGACCAUGUCGGGUUACGGCAACUUGGUCGGGUGCGACCAAAAGCCCCGUCUAAAGCCGGUAUCGGGUAGAAUUCCACCGUGUCCAAAUCCCGAGCACUAUUUAAAGUGAAUCAAACUUCCAUUUGAAGCUUUUUCUUCAUCUCACUACUCUCUCUCUAACCUCUCUCCUCAACCAAGAUUAAGGUCCAAAAACAUAGAAUUAAGGCUCCAAAUCAUAGAGGAACUUCCCUAACUUGUUAUUCAACCUCUUAAGCCUUCAAAUCUGUGUUUAAUAUGUGAUUUUGAACCUGGAACAUGUGUUUACGGCCAAGGAGCAUGCUUGGGCCGUAAACACUUAAUAAAUGGGUUUUUUGAGCAAUUAAACCCCUCCAAAUCAAUCUUGGGACUUAGAUACGACUAUAUGGCUUACAAAUCCGGACUUAAAACACCCUAAACAUGGAUUUUGAGGAGCAUAUAAGAGUUUAUGGCCAAGGAACAUGCUUGGGCCGUAAACUCCUCAUACAUGGGGAGUAAACUCAUUUUUGCAUGUUAAAAAGCCAUAUAACUCCAC